rnacentral:rRNA from 1 species
UACGUAGGGGGCAAGCGUUGUCCGGAUUUAUUGGGCGUAAAGAGCUCGUAGGUGGUUCGGUAAGUCGGAUGUGAAAUCUCCAGGCUCAACCUGGAGGGGUCAUUCGAUACUGCCGUGACUAGAGUUCGGUAGGGGAGUGUGGAAUUCCUGGUGGAGCGGUGAAAUGCGCAGAUAUCAGGAGGAACACCGGUGGCGAAGGCGGAUCUCUGGGCCUUACCUGACGCUGAGGCGCGAAAGCUAGGGGAGCGAACAGG